CAUGUUGAUCAACUUGAUACGUGAUCAAUAAACAAAAUCUCAACAAAGAACCUGUGUAUUCCUUGACUGUGGAUAUUUGUGUCAGGGAAAACGACAGUUUUGGUGCGUUGGCCAGGAUUUGCAAUAUCUCGGAAUCCUCUUCAGGCAGACACCACUGGACCCUGGAGACACUCAACAAAGACCGGUCAAAACAGUGUCAUGUUUCAAUUUGUUACUGCAGAAGCUAUGUUCCUCGACUACUCCCAACCAGACAAGGAUCCUCCAAGAAGACACAGGCCCUCCAGAUACCACCUACACCACCCUGUAUGUUGCCCCUGGUGCACAGUCUACCAGCUAUGAGCUGUGGACUUAUAGAGAAAGAAAUGGUGGAACUGUUGGAAUUCAGUCACUUAAAUGUCAUACAAGUUACUCAUCUGUGAUACUUUUGUGUGAGCUCACAGAAGUAUCAGAGGAGGGACUGUAAAAUAAUGGAGGUAGCUGGUUAUUUUUAAGGGGGCUUUUUCAGUCAGAUAGGCCACAGUGGAUAUUUUUGCUUAUGCUUUAUUUGUGUCUAAUUAUCCUGUCUUCUAUCUUGUUUGAAAACUCCUGUCAUGUGAGUAUGUUACCUCUCUGCAUGUAACACUGGGCCAGGCAACUAUCUGUAGGAUAACAAACAGUUAAUUGCUGUAUUUUUCUCCCUGUCCAAUAUUAGAAAAGUCACAUAAAUGGUUUUCUGUGCACUAGGCCAGUGCACAGGAAACUAGGCUAGGUCAAAUAGAGUGUAUGCUAUUUUGCUAACAGGUGGUUCAAAUGGAAACUAACUUGUUGAAUUAUUCCUCAUUUUUUAAAACUGUAACAAGUAUAGGAAAACAGAUGUAUUAGAAUAGGUAUUUUGCCCAGCAACUAGAUGAAGGGAUCUUUAAGUAGAAUAUUACUGGUGGAUACAUGUUGAUUACGUAACCUGUUGUACUCUGUUAAAACUGAAUGCUGGACUGCCCAGCUUCAGAAUUUGCUGUCUGCACAAUUCUCCCAUGUUGAUCAACUUGGUAUGUGAUCAAUAAACAAAAUCUCAACAAAGAA